UACGGAGGAUCCAAGCGUUAUCCGGAAUCAUUGGGUUUAAAGGGUCCGUAGACGGUUUAAUAAGUCAGUGGUGAAAUCUGGUCGCUCAACGAUCAAACGGCCAUUGAUACUGUUAGACUUGAAUUAUUGGGAAGUAACUAGAAUAUGUAGUGUAGCGGUGAAAUGCUUAGAUAUUACAUGGAAUACCAAUUGCGAAGGCAGGUUACUACCAAUAUAUUGACGCUGAUGGACGAAAGCGUGGGGAGCGAACAGG
rnacentral:rRNA from 1 species